UCCCUUGUAGCUCAGUUGGUAAAGAAUCCACCUGCAAUGUGGGAGACCUGGGUUCAAUCCCUGGGUUGGGAA
rnacentral:tRNA from 1 species